GUCCACGCCGUAACGAUGGAUACUAGCUGUUGGGCAACUUCAGUGGCUAAGCGAAGUGAUAAGUAUCCCACCUGGGAGUACGGCGCAAGCCUGAACUCAAGGAAUUGACGGGCCCGCACAAGCGGUGGAGCAUGUGGUUUAAUUCGAUGAUACGCGAGGAACCUUACCAAGGCUUAAAUGUAGACUGACCGGUUUGGAAACAGACCUUUCGCAAGACAGUUUACAAGGUGCUGCAUGGUUGUCGU
rnacentral:rRNA from 1 species